UUUGAUUUUGUUUUGAGUUUUUUCUUGUUAUUUGUUUUUGUUUUAUUUUUUAGGUUUUUGGUUUGUUAGUUAGUUGCAGUUUGUUUUGUUUUGUUUUUGCAUGCGCCUAUAAUAUAAUACAGGAUGGAAACCAAUCAAAUUGUUCUCGGAUUCUCGCCCUCCUGAACACGUUAUCGAAUAAAAUUAGAUCUUACUUCCAUCCCACCAUGCUCUCCAAUUGAAGAUCUGACAUGAACCAACGGCACUUCGUCUUCAGGUGAUCUUACGUCACAAAUAUGAUAUUUGUUCAUUAUAUUCCAUUAUAAACAACAGAAAGGCUUCAAAGCAAUCCAAUUUUUUUUUUUUAUAUUGAUGAAAUGAAAGCAUUUGACAGAGUUAACAGAUCUGGUAUAAGCACCAAACAUUGGGAGUAAAUGGUAACUUUUUAUAUGGCUGUUAAAUCUUUGUAUGAACAUAACCGCUGAAGGGUGUGUGUAAAUGGUUUUCCUACUGAAGAAUUUCGUUGUUAAUAACGGUGUUAAACAGAGUUGUGCGUUAUCACCAACAUUGUUCUCGAUUUGUAUUAAUGAUUUGGUUGACGAAAUGAAUAGCCUCAGCUGUGACAUUGCUACUGAUGGUUCGAUGUUGAGUUUACUUCUGUAUGCCGAUGAUAUUGCCCUCAUCGCACCGGAUGAACAUUCUUUACAACGUAUGUUAAGCUGCGUGGCUAAUUGGUGUAAACGUGGCUUUUACAGAUACAGUAAAGUACUCUUAUAACGAACAGCAAGGGACCAGACACAUCGGUUCGUUAUAGCAAUAGUUCGUUAUACACAUUUGCGGAAGUUAGCCGUUUUCAUUCAUGAAGUCGGCCAUUUUGGAUUUUUAAAAUUUAAAUACAAAAGUUAGUGGGGUUUUAAAAAAUAUUUCAUUUAUUAUCAACAAUAUCAGUACAGUCGUUUUGGAUGCAUUGCCGUAAAUGCUACUGACUGAUAAGAUACAAAUAGAUAAAAGAAAUUAUGAUCGGUUCACUGUAUAUACACUAAUUUACACUGAAAUUCACAAUUUUUAUAAACAAACUGGUUCGUUUUAACAGUUAAUUCGCUAUACAUAGUUCGUUCUAUACAUUAAAAUUUAUUAGCCGAUAACCCCGUUAAAUAGUGGUAUUUGUAAAUGUUGUAACAAAAAUAUUAUAGAAGAUGAAUUUCAUUUUUUUUUAUCACGUGUAAUUUCUAUUCAGAUUUAAGAAUGAAGUUAUGGGGUCCAGCCUCUAUAAUAAGGCCUAACUUUCUAUACAGAUUUAAGAAUGAAGUUAUGGGGUCCAGCCUCUAUAAUAAGGCCUAACUUUCUAUUCAGAUUUAAGAAUGAAGUUAUGGGGUCCAGCCUCUAUAAUAAGGCCUAACUUUCUAUACAGAUUUAAGAAUGAAGUUAUGGGGUCCAGCCUCUAUAAUAAGGCCUAACUUUCUAUACAGAUUUAAGAAUGAAGUUAUGGGGUCCAGCCUCUAUAAUAAGGCCUAACUUUCUAUACAGAUUUAAGAAUGAAGUUAUGGGGUCCAGCCUCUAUAAUAAGGCCUAACUUUCUAUUCAGAUUUAAGAAUGAAGUUAUGGGGUCCAGCCUCUAUAAUAAGGCCUAACUUUCUAUACAGAUUUAAGAAUGAAGUCAUGGGGUCCAGCCUCUAUAAUAAGGCCUAACUUUCUAUUCAGAUUUAAGAAUGAAGUUAUGGGGUCCAGCCUCUAUAAUAAGGCCUAACUUUCUUGAAUUAUUACCUAUGGACCAGUUUAAAUCACUUCUGUGUUCUGCCAACUUGGUUAAACCGUUGGCCGCUACUCUUUUAACCAUAUUCAUGAGAGAAAAAACCUUAGUAUAUAGCAAUUUUAUGAUUGCUUUUAUUGAAUAACUCAAUCAAAUUUAGCAUCAGUAUUAUAUUUUAUAAUAAAAAUAUUAAAUUGUUUUACUUAGAUAAUGUGCUUUUAAAUAUUUUAGAAUUUUAAAUGUUUUGAGUGUCUUGUAGGCAAUUUGACCGGAUCUUGUACUGUGUAACCUCUGUAUACAUAUAUUUAUAUUACAUGAUUUAUGUACAGCAUGUGACACUAUAAUAAAAUAAUUUUCUUCUCUUUUUCAUCUGUAUUCCGAAUGCGUCACAGUUUGUUUAGCGCUGUCAGAUUUACACCAGCUGAGUUUAAUGGGUCGAAUGCAAUGCUACGUGGACACAGAACAACACUAGCCUUAAUUAGAUUUACUGACUGAUACCUGGAAUAGGACUGAUAAUUAAAAUCUAAUUUCGCUUAGAUUGCCGCGGAUAAUCACAAAGACUCGUAUAGUGGAAGUAUCAUCUCUCACUUAAAAAGUACACUGUUUCUAAAACUUAUGUGAACCAAUUAAGGACUGUUACAAAAAGAAACAACCCUGUCAACAUGAGAAUGGAUCAAGUGCUGAUGUGAUUCAUUGGAUUACAAAAAUAAAAAUCUUUAUGUAAAUAAUUUAGAAAACCCCCACCCAGCAACAUAAAGGGAAAGUAACAAAGACCAACUGCGAUAUUGAUCUUCUAAACUGCUAUGAUUAUAUUUCACCAAUGUGAUUUUUGUUCUGUUGUUAACAUGUUAAUAAAUAUAAAACCAAUUUUGUGUACAUGUAUCGCAGGAAAUAUCCUGUAUGGAACGUGUGUUUUAAGCUGUGUUAUUAAUUAAAGUUUUAGUGCUUGAUGAGCAAAAGAAACAAAGUCAACGAGUUCAUUAUUUAUUAUUUAUAAGCACAAAGUGCCAGGCCGUUAAAAAUGCCACAUUACCUUUUAAUAAACACGGCUUAGUAAACAUCGAUAAAUAAUAUACAUAUAUUUGUACAGCAAAAUCAUUUAUCUUGUACACAUGAUCUACAUUUGAAAUACAGUUAUAAUUAAAUAUAUUACUACCUCACGUACAUUCACACGAAUAUUAAUCACAUUUUAAUAACUACCUUCCGUUCUGGAUCUGAUAACUUUACUGCAUUCGAAUCUUACAAUGAGCGACAGAUAUGACACUAACAACAAUCUCUGUAAAUUAAUUGGCUCCCGGUUCUAAUUCGCCAGCGUCCGCAAUAACUCGUUGGAAAAAUAUUGAAAAAUAAUAGAAAGCAGUAAACAGGUGCGCCACAAAAGAAAAACUGAUUGUAAUAAUGAGAAACUACGAUAGUGAUCUUGUAAACUGUUGUAUAAAAGAGAAGGGCGGCUGCAGGUGUAAUAUAAACACACGUGUACAUGUGAGAGAUUUCACUCAUUCUAGAGACGAGCUGUAAAACGUUUGACGAGAAAUACGGAACAUUUGGCGAAGAUUUACUUCAUACAGGAUGAAUAAGUUAAUACUGGUUUUUUUGUUUGCUCUGCUUGUUGUCGCUGCAACAACAGAAAACGAUGGUAAGAUCGACGUCCGUGAUGACGAUUGCGAUGACGAGGAGUUACUGUCGUGUCUCCUUGACAACCCGAAAUGUUGCGAGAACCAGUGCCAACAAGCCUGUAAAGAUUUCCAGGAAAGCGAAGAGGACUAAAUUUUUGACAUUUUUGAAAUGUAGAAAACUGACAAUUAAUAUCUCGAAAAUGAGGAACCCUUCACGGCAAUAAAUGAGUAUUCGCUA